ACGCUCGACACCUACGGGAGGCAGCAGUGAGGAAUAUUGGUCAAUGGGCGCAGGCCUGAACCAGCCAAGUAGCGUGAAGGAUGACUGCCCUAUGGGUUGUAAACUUCUUUUAUAUGGGAAUAAAGUUUUCCACGUGUGGAAUUUUGUAUGUACCAUAUGAAUAAGGAUCGGCUAACUCCGUGCAGCAGCCGCGGUAAUCUGAGCGGGCUGGCAAGGC
rnacentral:rRNA from 1 species